UACGUAGGGGGCGAGCGUUGUCCGGAUUUAUUGGGCGUAAAGCGCACGCAGGCGGUUUCGUAAGUUUGGAGUGACAGUGCUCGGCUCAACUGAGCAAGGCCUCUGAAAACUGCGGGACUUGAGGACCAGAGAGGGACAUAGAAUUCCGGGUGGAGUGGUGAAAUGCGUAGAUAUCCGGAGGAAUACCAAAGGCGAAGGCAGUGUCCUGGCUGGUAACUGACGCUCAGGUGCGAAAGCUAGGGGAGCGAACAGG
rnacentral:rRNA from 1 species